AUUGAACGCUGGCGGCAGGCCUAACACAUGCAAGUCGGGCGAGCGGCGGACGGGUGAGUAAUGUCUGGGAAACUGCCUGAUGGAGGGGGAUAACUACUGGAAACGGUAGCUAAUACCGCAUACCAUCAGAUGUGCCCAGAUGGGAUUAGCUAGUAGGUGGGGUAAUGGCUCACCUAGGCGACGAUCCCUAGCUGGUCUGAGAGGAUGACCAGCGACACUGGAACUGAGACACGGUCCAGACUCCUACGGUAGGCAGCGGUGGGGAAUAUGGGACAAUGGGCGCAAGCCUGAUGCAGCCAUGCCGCGUGUGUGAAGAAGGCCUUCGGGUUGUAAAGCACUUUCAGCGAUGAGGCGGGACUCGCAGAAGAAGCACCGGCUAACUCCGUGCCAGCAGCCGCGGUAAUAC
rnacentral:rRNA from 1 species